rnacentral:rRNA from 1 species
GUGUCAGCCGCCGCGGUAAUACGUAGGGUGCGAGCGUUAAUCGGAAUUACUGGGCGUAAAGCGUGCGCAGGCGGUUUUGAAAGUCAGAUGUGAAAUCCCCGGGCUCAACCUGGGAACUGCGUUUGAAACUCCAAAGCUAGAGUAUGGGAGAGGGAGGUAGAAUUCCACGUGUAGCAGUGAAAUGCGUAGAGAUGUGGAGGAAUACCAAUGGCGAAGGCAGCCUCCUGGCCUAAUACUGACGCUCAUGCACGAAAGCGUGGGGAGCAAACAGGAUUAGAUACCCUGGUAGUCCACGCCCUAAACGAUGUCUACUAGUUGUUGGGAGAGUAAAAUCUUUUAGUAACGAAGCUAACGCGAGAAGUAGACCGCCUGGGGAGUACGGUCGCAAGAUUAAA